rnacentral:rRNA from 1 species
AUGUCGUCGACGGCCACCGUCACCCGCGCCCACCUCGAGAACAAGCUCGCCCUCGCCAGACGCUGCUCCAGAGAGGCGACGCUCGCCGGAGCAAAGGCGGCGGCCAUCGCCACGGUCGCGUCUGCGGUCCCAACGGUGAGCUCCUCCGUCCGGGAUUUGUUGAUUUUCAUGCACGUUGGUCUGGUUUUCAUGACUGAACUGUUUAUCGUGCAGCUGGCGAGCGUGCGGAUGCUGCCGUGGGCCAAGGCGAACCUGAACCCCACCGGCCAGGCGCUCAUUGUUUGCACCGUCGCCGGGAUGGCCUACUUCGUCGCCGCCGACAAGACUAUCCUCUCGCUGGCAAGGAAGCACUCGUACGAGAGCGCCCCGGACCACCUCAAGGACACCUCCUUCCAUGGCGCCGCCGCCGCAACUCGUCCCCGUCCGCCGGCAUUCUUCAGGCCUUGA